GCUAGCGUUGUCCGGAAUCAUUGGGCGUAAAGCGCGGGUGGGCGGUCCGGUAAGUCCGCUGUGAAAGUCGAGGGCUCAACCCUCGAAUGCCGGUGGAUACUGUCGGGCUUGAGUACGGGAGAGGCGAGUGGAAUUCCUGGUGUAGCGGUGAAAUGCGCAGAUAUCAGGAGGAACACCGAUUGCGAAGGCAGCUCGCUGGAACGUUACUGACGCUGAGACGCGAAAGCGUGGGGAGCAAACAGG
rnacentral:rRNA from 1 species